CUAACUUGUUACAGGGCCUCAUUAGACAUAUCGACCGAGCUUUUCCCUUGGGUGGCCGUACCCACUGGGAACCAUGGAGUUGGUUCUCACCCCACGUUGUUUUGGGGUGUUUACAGGUACUCACGUGAGCGGCGCUGCGGCGCGAGCUAAGGGCGUAGCUCCGUAGAUAGCGCCCUACCCCAGAGACCGAGAUAGCAGUACCCGAGUUGGUGGUCUAGCCUGGGAGGUUUAAAGACAGAGUAUAAACUUGUAAUAAAUUGUAAUAAAUAGGUUGUAAUUUGGAAGUUAACUGUAAACAGAAAUUGUGAUGUAAAAUAUGAAUGCAAAAUGAAUGCUUGUAAUAGCAAGUAGUUAUGUAUUUGAUA
rnacentral:lncRNA from 1 species